CCGGGUGUGUCUGACUUUUUUCCUCGCUUUAACUUCGUAACUUUUUAAACAGAGUUUGGUUUAGUUUUUCAGCUCGGAACCUUUAAAUGUGUGGAUUUAACCGAAAAACGGCGACGAAGAAGGAAGAAAGUUCACGUUUAGAAGAAGAAGAAGCAGAAGAAGGGGUUUGUUUUUAAAACUGUGAAGUUGGAGGAACUGAAGUGGGCGGAGCAAGAUGAUGGAGGAGCACAGAGGGGACGUCAGCCUGGCGUCCGGCGCCACAGAGAUGGAGACGACUCCUACGGACGCGAACAGUAACUGCAACCACGCAGACAACGGUGUCACUUCCUGUCCAGCUGAGGCCAUGGCAGAGGUCAACAUGGAAACAGGGCAGGACAAAGACCUUCCAGUGUCACCCCAGACACCAGGAA